rnacentral:tRNA from 1 species
GGGGGUAUAGCUCAGCUGGGAGAGCAGCAGACUGAAGUAUGAAUUUCUCAUUAUGUACUUAUUUCUGAAGGUCCCGCGUUCGAUCCGCGGUACCCCCA